ensembl:lncRNA
AAACCAGCUGCCCUUUCCCUGGAACAAAGCCGUAAAGUUUACGGAUUCGGUUUUGAUCAGAGAUACCGAAAUGUCAGAGUCAAUAGUGCACAACUGUAUUGCAACAGCGUCGUUGGGCUUUUAUUUACAACUCAGACAAGGUUUCCAGUGAAUACCACUUGCAUUUCUGUACAAAAUGAGGCUCCUGUUUGCCUUCAAAGCAGUUUCAAGACAAAUGAUGGACUGUGCCAGUCUUUAAGCUACUGUCAGAUAACUGUAAACACUGAGGGACAUAAGGGACGUGUUUCUAAUAUACUGUAUGCCAAUUUGACUUUCUUCAUCUCCCAAGGACAGACAACCACCUGCUGAAAAAAUCCUAUCUUAUGCACAUGUUUAUGGACACCUGGACUCGGGAGACAAGCCUGAUUGAUGGCUGAGAGCUCUGAGGAAAAAGCUGCCCUACCCACAGACACGCCUCUGGAUCCAUUUAUCACAAUCACUCACAGAAAGAUGGAGGCAUCGGCAAAAAAAAAAAAAGUGAGAUGGUGCUCUACGGACAAAGCUGCGACCGGUCAGCAGGCGUGCAUCACGGAGGGAGACUGGGAGAUAAUUGGACAGUUGGUGGGAGAGAACACUCCACCGGAGAGACAGUUUGGACAGGGAACACGGAUGGACAGAUGGAUGGAGAGGAAAAAUAGCAGAAGAAGAGUAUCAGAAGUGCAGGAAGACUGCCCCGUCACUCCUAGGAGUCUCUGUUAUUUCAGACACCAACACUGCAACGGAACAACAAAAGAUCCCUCCCAUUCUACUGAAUGAAGCUGUCUACACUAUAAGCACCGUGACAUCUUUAGAGAACUGCUGUAACACUCGUGGAUCUGAGACCAGGGUUUUAUUUAGCACAAGAUCAGUGAUGGACGGACAGACUCCAGCGAGACAGAUGGGCAGAUGUGGCUUCACAGCA